CUUCCCUGUCUUGUUCCUGGGCGCAGAGGGCUCCUCCGGCGCCGCCGAGCUGCGCCCGCUGCCUUCACACCCCGGACAUCCGCGCCACACGUGACACCUGCGGAGACAGCCCCCGUAAGGCUCCUGUUCCCGCCCCCUCCCGCCCCAGGGACCCAGACCCCAGGAGGCCUCACCCCACAGCAAGAGAAAGACCACGAGCAUGGACAUGAUGGUCGCGCUCACUCCGGUGCAGUGAGUGUCUGGGUGAUGGAUCCUAGAACCUGUUCUAGAAGGAGACGCUGAGUUCUCCCCACUCUACCUGGAGCUGCUGAGGUCAAGUGGAGAGUGCCGGGGCUGAAGCCCAGCGAGCCCCUCCCUGUCACACCACACUGCACAUGUGACACCAAAGGCAUUUAUUGAGCAUCUACUGUGUGCCAGAUGCAAAGAAGACAGUGGGAUAACUGGGCAAGGAGCAUUCCAGGCAGAGGGAACAGCCAGUGCAAACAUGGGAGAUGCGGGUGCAGUGAGAAGGAGCAGAGGAGACCAGGAGUUGAGGCGACUGCAGAGCGAUUGCAGAGCUCAUAGACGUGAUGAAGACCAGCUGGGCACUGCAGCGGCUCUGGCUUCUGCUGUGAGGGACGGGGAGCUGUGGAGACUCCCUCUGUUUGGUCCCAUUUCCAUAUUGCUGAGCACCUGCUGCAUGCUCUCUGUCCUGCUCAGAGCCAGUACCUGGAUGGAGGCUGUGUGUUCUGGGUGGACUGGGGG
rnacentral:lncRNA from 10 species